rnacentral:misc_RNA from 1 species
AAGUCGUAACAAGGUUUCCGUAGGUGAACCUGCGGAAGGAUCAUUACCGAGACAGGGUCCUUCGGGGCCCGACCUCCAACCCUUUGUCUACCUACCACUGUUGCCUCGGCGGGCCGCCGAUGCCUUCACGGGCGUCGCCGUCGGCUCUUGGGCUCUCGAGCGCCCGCCGCUAGGCCUAAAUUAAACUCAUGUAAACACAGUUUUCUGAGAGCAAGUUAAAUACUUCAAAACUUUCAACAACGGAUCUCUUGGUUCUG